AUGGCUGUGUCCCAAUUCCUAGGACGCAUCCUUCGAAGGCUGCAUUCGAAGGAUGCGUCGACGCCGAUUGCGUCACAGCGUCGCGCCAAGUGCUGUCCCAAUUCCAAGGGUCCUUCAAAUGCGGCCUACGAAUGCAGCCUUCUUUUCCCGGAUUUGAAGGAUGCAUCGGCUGUAUCCUUCACGGCCCAACGUAUCCCAAGAUCCUUCACGGCCCAACGUAUCCCUCCCAAGAUUCAUUGCGCAUUCAAUCAAUGGAGAUGGCGGAGAAUGGCGAUUUAAGUUCUGCAUUUAAAUGACAAUUCUGGAGAAAAUAGGCCUGCAGGGGAAGGUGUCUCCCCCGCAGGCAAAGAAAAACUUUUGCUGAAAUUUGUUUUGAUACUGCUCUUGUUGUUAACUGCCAUGAUUGAUUUCCUCUGCCUUAGGAUUGCAAGUAUCCAGGGUCAGGAGAGGGGGUAGGUGGGAAACCCACUGCUGCCACUUGGCCCUGGUUUGUCCCCUUGGAUAAGGUAUUGUGACAUAUGCAUACCACCAACCCCCCUGUCCUAAUUGCCUCCAUCCCUGAGAACACACCAGGGCCAAGUACAGCAAGUACAGCAGUGGUGGAUCAGGAGGUUGAGGACAAGAUCAGGAGGAGGAAAGACAGCGAGGGCCAAGGUCCAGAAAGAGGGACAGAGAGGAAGACAUGUUCCAGAGUCGCUCACUAUCUUCCGAAAAAGACUCAAGAUUCACCUGUUCAGAGUCCACCUCGACUGCAUAGCCACCCUCCCCCUUCUGGCAACCAUUGUACACUGUGUUGUAUUGUAUUAUAGUACUUAACUGUGUAGCAACUGCAGUAGCUGCUAUCAUGGCUGUAACACGGGGAAUGGGUUAGCCUAGCGAUUGUGGUACUUGCACUUGGUUCUAUGAACAUCCUUUCUGUACCGACAGCGAUAUAUUGAUGCACUUCUUAUGACAAAUGUACUUAUUGUAAGUCGCUUUGGAUAAAAGCGUCUGCUAAAUGCCCUAAAUGUAAAUGUAAAAUGUCAAUGUUCCAGUUAAUAAAAGAGGACAUGAGGCUACAAAGGGA